GAUGAACGCUGGCGGCGUGCCUAAUACAUGCAAGUCGAGCGAACGGACGAGAAGCUUGCUUCUCUGAUGUUAGCGGCGGACGGGUGAGUAACACGUGGAUAACCUACCUAUAAGACUGGGAUAACUUCGGGAAACCGGAGCUAAUACCGGAUAAUAUUUUGAACCGCAUGGUUCAAAAGUGAAAGACGGUCUUGCUGUCACUUAUAGAUGGAUCCGCGCUGCAUUAGCUAGUUGGUAAGGUAACGGCUUACCAAGGCAACGAUGCAUAGCCGACCUGAGAGGGUGAUCGGCCACACUGGAACUGAGACACGGUCCAGACUCCUACGGGAGGCAGCAGUAGGGAAUCUUCCCAAUGGGCGAAAGCCUGACGGAGCAACGCCGCGUGAGUGAUGAAGGUCUUCGGAUCGUAAAACUCUGUUAUUAGGGAAGAACAUAUGUGUAAGUAACUGUGCACAUCUUGACGGUACCUAAUCAGAAAGCCACGGCUAACUACGUG
rnacentral:rRNA from 1 species